rnacentral:lncRNA from 1 species
AGAAAACCUUGCUAUUACAGCAAGUAUACGUGCUGCAGCAUGUCAUCAAGCUGCAUGCACUUCAAACAAAACAUGUAACAGCAGCAUGGUUGGCCAAUUUCAACAAUGGCAAGAGGGAAAAUAAAAGAAGAAAAAUUGGCUUUUAAAAAGCCCAAGCUUAAGGGGGCUCAAGGGUGAGAGAAAAAAAAAAGGAAAAAGAAAGAG